GCACCGCUGACGAGUUGCAUACUAAGACGAAACGGCCGUCCAGUGC
rfam:Schistosoma rodhaini strain Burundi genome assembly, scaffold: SROB_scaffold0007813